rnacentral:rRNA from 1 species
GAUGAACGCUGGCGGCGUGCCUAAUACAUGCAAGUCGAGCGAACAGACGAGGAGCUUGCUCCUCUGACGUUAGCGGCGGACGGGUGAGUAACACGUGGAUAACCUACCUAUAAGACUGGGAUAACUUCGGGAAACCGGCGCUAAUCCCGGAUAAUAUAUUGAACCGCAUGGUUCAAUAGUGAAAGACGGUUUUGCUGUCACUUAUAGAUGGAUCCGCGCCGCAUUAGCUAGUUGGUAAGGUAACGGCUUACCAAGGCAACGAUGCGUAGCCGACCUGAGAGGGUGAUCGGCCACACUGGAACGGAGACACGGUCCAGACUCCUACGGGAGGCAGCAGUAGGGAAUCUUCCGCAAUGGGCGAAAGCCUGACGGAGCAACGCCGCGUGAGUGAUGAAGGUCUUCGGAUCGUAAAACUCUGUUAUUAGGGAAGAACAAAUGUGUAAGUAACUAUGCACGUCUUGACGGUACCUAGUCAGAAAGCCACGGCUAACUACGUG